rnacentral:rRNA from 1 species
AAUAAAAAAUUUAUUUAUGUUUAUUUUAGUUAAUAUUUUUAAUAAAAAUAAUUUUGUAAUUGAUUUUUUUUAGUAGAGUGUAUAGAAAUAAUAAAUUUUAUUAUAGAUUAGUAGUAUUGUAAAAGAAUAUUGAAAUAUAUUGAAAAAAAAAUUAUUAAAAAGAAAUAUUUAUUUUAUGUACCUUUUGUAUCAGGGUUUAUUGAAUAAAUUUUAUUAUUAAAUAAAUUUCUCGAAUUUAAAAGAUUUAAUAAAUUAUUAAAGUUAAUGUGGAAUAAUUAUUUUAAAUAAUUUAUUAGUAAUGAAAUGUUAUUCGUUUUUAAAUAUAUCUAGUUUUUUAAGAAAUAAAUUUAAUUUACAUAUUUUUGUAUAUAAUUUCUUUUAUAAUUUAAGGAAUUAUUUUUAAAUAUGAAUAUAUUAAGGGAUAAGCUUUAAUUUAUUAACUAUAAUAAAUUAUUUAAAAAAUUAUAAGUAUAGGGUUAGAAAUAUCUAUUAUUAAUAAGUUUGUUUUAAUUUAUAUAUUGAAUUUAUAAUUUAUAUUUAUUUAGAUAAUGUAUUAGAAUAAUUAUUUUAAUAAGUAAAAUAAUGGGAUAAUGAUAAAAUUAGUAUAAUUAUUUGUUUGUAUUAAAAAUUUAAAUAGAUUAGAUUAAGGAAUUCAGCAAAUUAAUACUCACCUGUUUAACAAAAACAUGUCUUUUUGAUUAUAAUUUAAAGUCUAACCUGCCCACUGAAUAUUUUGAAGGGCCGCGGUAUUUUGACUGUGCAAAGGUAGCAUAAUCAUUAGUCUUUUAAUUGGAGGCUUGUAUGAAUGGUUGGAUGAGGUAUUAACUGUCUCAAUUUAAUAAAUAAUAGAAUUUUAUUUUUAAGUUAAAAAGCUUAAAUUUAAUUAAAAGACGAGAAGACCCUAUAGAUCUUUAUAUUUAAAUUUGUAAUAAUUUUUUAGAAUAAAUUUAUUUUUAUUAAUUAAAAUAUUAAAUUGGGGUGAUUAAAAAAUUUGUAAAACUUUUUUUGUAUAUAAACAGUGAUAUUUGAAUAAUUGAUCCAUUUUUUGUGAUUAUAAGAUUAAGUUACCUUAGGGAUAACAGCGUAAUUUUUUUGGAGAGUUCAUAUCGAUAAAAAAGAUUGCGACCUCGAUGUUGAAUUAAAGGUUAAUUUUAGGUGUAGAAGUUUAAAAUUUGGGUCUGUUCGACCAUUAAAUCUUUACAUGAUUUGAGUUCAAACCGGCGUGAGCCAGGUUGGUUUCUAUCUUUAAUAAAUAAAAAUAUUUUAGUACGAAAGGACCAAAUAUUUAAAAUAAUUUUUUUUAGGGAAUAAUAUUAAU